rnacentral:rRNA from 1 species
UACGUAGGGUGCAAGCGUUGUCCGGAAUUAUUGGGCGUAAAGAGCUCGUAGGCGGUUUGUCGCGUCUGCUGUGAAAACGCGAGGCUCAACCUCGCGCCUGCAGUGGGUACGGGCAGACUAGAGUGCGGUAGGGGAGAUUGGAAUUCCUGGUGUAGCGGUGGAAUGCGCAGAUAUCAGGAGGAACACCGGUGGCGAAGGCGGAUCUCUGGGCCGUAACUGACGCUGAGGAGCGAAAGCAUGGGGAGCGAACAGG